CCGUAGGGAGGCAGCGUCGGGGUGUUGGAGGAGGAGGAGUACUGGUCCAGCAGCUCAUCGAUCGUCAGCACCCUCGCUCCUGUUCAAUCAACAAACCGUAAGUUAAAUUUGACAUAAGUGCCAUAGCUACCCGUGCUAGCAAGGAAGCAUGACAAAAGAAAAAAGGGACGCACCGCAAUGCGCCGUGAAGAACGCUAGUGCAACGAUGGCGAAGACGAGACGGUGUGGUGGCCAUGAGAAGACCUUGCCUUCCUCCAUGGCGCACGGGGAGGUGCUCUCUUUACAAGGACAGACAAUGGAGCCGGGGGUCGUUAUUAUAGCCAUGUUGCAAAAGAAAAGGUUGAAGAAGUCGGCAUUGUAAUGUAAAGCUACUGUAGUAGGAAGAGCAUCCAGUGAAGUAAAAGAGAGGCAUGAGUGAGAGCUUUUGUGCUUGGUAACACUGACCGAUCGCCGGAGGAGAGCAUGGAAAUGAUUGGAUUCUUUGGCGAUUUUGAGGUUUUCGCUCUGGCUUUUCCCCUUUUGCAGUUUUGGCACAGAUGCUUGCUUGUUGCCCAGAGAAAUGGAGAGGAUCCUCCUCUACUCCCACUUUCUUCUUUUCUUGCUUGGGAUCCACUCAAGCACAAAUCAGCGUUAGCAGACCAUGCACCAUGUGUUUAUACAUGUCAGAACCAUGUUAAGGGUGCAGAAUUCUUACGGCUUUUCAGCCAUGUUUCCCAUAUAAUCGGGGCCAGUUUUCUUAUGAAAAUACAGGAGACGCAAAAAUUUAACAUCUGAUGGCGCAAAGCAAUGGUCAACAGUGCAAUUCUGGAAUUUCGAUGAAUGAUUGAUAAGUACACAACGGGAAACAGACAGUUAAAAGGCCAGCAAUUCUCAUGAACAAAUCAUUAAACUGGUCACAUAUUCCUCAUUUGCUUUGCUACCAAUGAAUACAAAUGUAACACAUCAUGCUACAGUCGGUGAAAAACUACCAGUAAUGCCCUAAUGCAUCAUCAGGUUUACACAGUUGUACCCAUAUCUCAUCAGGUCACAAUGGAACAAAUGAUUUCUAGGCUAACAAUUUUUC